CAGCGCCGGCCUUACCCGCAGUAACCGGGACUCAUACGACGACGUUUCGUUCUCGCUCGCCGCCUCCUUCUUUCAAGAUUUCGCUCCUCUUUUCGCCCUUCACGGACGAGCGGGGGACCGCGGAAACAAGGGUGACGUUGGGAUCCUCAGAAUUGUGCUAGUGCUCCUUUACCGGCCAAGGUUCAUGACUCAUUCUGCCGUUUAUUGCUUUUUCGAAGUUUAGGGCAACGCUAAGUUGGUGAUACGGGGUUUAGGAAACGAUAACAGGAAUUGGAUAUGCAAACGGAGGCUCGGAUUGGUGCGGUGGUAGAAGGGGGCCAGAGAGGUAUCCAUCCGAGUCACGCGGGUGUUGUCGUCGAUGGGUCGAUUAGGAAGCUGGUGCAACCGCGGCAGCAGCAGUCUCAGAUUGGCCCUAUUUCGCAGCUUGUUGCUGGUGGCUGUGCAGGCGCUCUUAGCAAGACAUGUACCGCGCCCCUUGCUCGACUAACCAUACUCUUUCAGGUUCAGGGUAUGCACUCCAAUGUUGCAGCAUUGAGAAAGGCCAGCAUAUGGCACGAGGCUUCAAGAAUUAUUAAUGAAGAGGGAUUCAGGGCUUUCUGGAAAGGAAAUCUGGUCACAAUUGCACACCGUCUACCCUAUUCCUCAGCAAACUUUUAUGCAUAUGAGCACUACAAGAAGUUACUAAAGACGCUUCCAGGACUCAGAAGUCAUAAGGAUAAUAUCAGUGCAGACCUUUGCGUACAUUUUGUAGGUGGUGGCCUGGCAGGAAUAAGUGCUGCUACAGCUACUUAUCCAUUGGAUCUUGUGAGAACACGUCUUGCUGCUCAGACAAAAGUUAUCUACUAUCGAGGAAUUUGGCAUGCUUUAAGAACAAUCAGCCAGGAAGAGGGAGUUCUUGGCCUCUAUAAGGGACUUGGAGCUACGCUCUUGGGCGUAGGGCCCAAUAUUGCAAUCAGCUUCACUGUGUAUGAAACAUUGAGAUCUUUAUGGCAGUCAAACAGGCCCAGUGAUUCAAGUGUCCUUGUCAGUCUGGCCUGUGGCAGUCUUUCAGGCAUUGCGUCAUCAACAGUGGUUUACUAUGCUUUUGAUGCAGAGAAAGAGGGUUUGGUGCAGUAGCUGCACCAAGUAUCUAACCAGACUGACCCCUAGAACCAGAGGCCAGGUUGGAGUUGUUCUUUAUAUGGCAUAUGAGAAUCUAGUAAGGAGGAGGACAAAAACCUUUUUCAUGUCUGUCUUGAACUUUUUAACUGUAAAAGAUCUCAUUGAAGCGUUCAUCUUCCCAUCUUCUAUUUUUUUUUUUUUGGGUGAAUAUUCAUCUUCCCAACUCUUAUUCUAUGACAUGUCUCCCCAAGCAAUGCAGUGGAUUACAAGAUGGGGUGGCAUUACUUGGAUGAACCUAUAAGGCUUUAGCGUUCCCUCAAAUGCCAAAUGUGAGAGGUGUUCUCUUUCUGGUAUGCUUCUCACAUUAGCUUCCUUCACCUGGUGGUCAGAUGGGUAUCAGAAAUUCUUGAUCAUGCAUUUCUAAAUUAGUGAGCUCGUACAAUAAUAGUAUUGGCUUCAGCGUAACUGUAAUGAUGGUAAUGAUGACAUUUAAAUUUAAUUACUCAUGACAAAAGCAAUAAAUAAAUUGCACUGUCAAUUUAGACAUUAGUGCGUACUUCUUGCGGGAGAAUAAUGUUCUGUCCAAAGCUGUAUUAUAUGCACACUGGCUACAGGUAUCAAGAGUAUUUAUGCACAUGAAACUAUUAGGGCAUGCUCCGAGUUUUAUUCUACCCCUUUCCUGGUUAUGCUGUUCUUAUGAGUAUUUUUGUUAUGCUAAUAAUUUCUUUCAUUAUAAGAUCUAAUUGCUCAACCAUGAAUUUCUUGUUGAGAUGCUAAUAAUUUCUUUCAUUACAAGAUCUAAUUGCUCAACCAUGAAUUUCUUGUUGAGAUAAGUUCAUGGGAGCAUAUGAAGCUGCUCACGUGGAGAUUUUGUCUGUUAACGCAACGUUCCCUUUGGAUCUUGUCAGGCGAAGGAAGCAGUUGGAGGGGGCUGGCGGGCGAGCCCUUGUGUAUAAAACGGGCCUCUUUGGGGUAUUUAGUCACAUAAUCCGGAAAGAAGGUGUGUGGGGCCUAUACAGAGGAAUUUUGCCUGAAUAUUAUAAGGUGGUGCCUGGUGUUGGUAUCUGUUUCAUGACCUACGAGGCACUCAAGAUGCUUUUAGCGGAUAUUGCUUCCGCUUAAGAGUUAUAUUCACCGGUGAGAAUUGAUGGAAACUACAUUUUGAUUCUGAUUCCUCGUGGUGGUAAAUUGUACGAUGCUGCUGCUGCUGUGGGAAACACACUUACACUGUAUAGAGACGAUUCUUCAUUACAUCUCCAAGCUGACGCAAAUUAAAGAUUACACUCUUACGGAUUCCUAGCAUGCGUUUUUUUUUUCCCUUCCCUCUUUCCCAUCUGGCGGUUCCCAAUGAAAAUAUAUAUUGGAAACAUCAAUCUGCAGCUUUUCAUAGGUGGAUACUCUGAGAAAUCGGCAUGUGUUGUCUACAAGUGAACUUGGUGAUAUCUUUUUUCAGUCAAGAGAAUAAUUUUAAAGGGGCAUUUUUGUGCAGAGUACUGCUGGUCGGUGGUAUAAUCUCAUCUGUACGCUUGUCAUAUGAUUCAUUCUAUCAUGUCUUUGCAGUUUUGAUCAUCAGGCUCAUUACGUUGACACUGAAUACCUUUCUUUGGAUAUUCCACCUCUUGGUUGUUGUAAUCUCAUUAGUGGACUUGUGUACUGGGCGUUAGGUUUUGGUGUAGUUCUGUAUGCGUGUUUCAUAGCUUUUAUAUUCCCCCGGG